AAGUCGUAACAAGGUUUCCGUAGGUGAACCUGCGGAAGGAUCAUUAAAUAAUCAAUAAUUUUGGCUUGUCCAUUAUUAUCUAUUUACUGUGAACUGUAUUAUUACUUGACGCUUGAGGGAUGCUCCACUGCUAUAAGGAUAGGCGGUGGGGAUGUUAACCGAGUCAUAGUCAAGCUUAGGCUUGGUAUCCUAUUAUUAUUUACCAAAAGAAUCCAGAAUUAAUAUUGUAACAUAGACCUAAAAAAUCUAUAAAACAACUUUUAACAACGGAUCUCUUGGUUCUC
rnacentral:misc_RNA from 1 species